CAUGAUUCACACAUCUCGUGAUCAUCAUAUUAUUCACAAUGCAACCACAUGUCUCUCCUCACAUUGAGUUUCCACCCUCCAUAACAGUAUUGUGGUAAUUGCACUUUUCAUUUGAGAGAGAAAAGAGCUAUACAACUAAAAUGGCUAACUGUGGGUGUUUAUGGAGCAUAUUAUGGUUUUUUAUCCUUAUCAUCAUCGGUUGGCCGAUCGGAGCAUUUUGUGCUGGCUGGUAUCUUCUGUUCAGUCCUUUCUCCGCCUGCUGCAGUGCAUUGGAUGGUUUAAUAAACCUUCUAGAGAAAGGCCUCAAACUGCCAUUAACUUGUGCACAGAAUAUGGUGCACCAGAAAUCACUGUGUUAGGAACAUCAAGGACGUGACUGAUUAACUUGUUGACGACAGAAAAAGGGAAUUCACAUCAUCAGCAUCACAAUGGCCAAUUGUUCCUGGUUGUGGAGUAUAUUAUGGCUUCUGAUCCUGUUCAUCAUCGGCUGGCCCAUAGGAGCUUUCUGUGCCGGCUGGUACCUUCUUCUCAGUCCCUUCUCAGCCUGCUGCAAUGCGCUGGACGAACUGAUAAACUUGCUUGAACGAGGUGUCAAAUUACCAUUGACCUGUGCUCAAAAUAUGGUCCACCAGAAGGCUUUGUGUUAGACAGAGGCCUGGGGAGAUUGUGAUUAUGUGAAGCCUGGAGAGAUUGGCCGAUGGCUUAUGCAAGAAAGUCUUUUUAACUCAAGCAAUAGGGAUGUUGCAGUGUGGUGAGACCAGUAUAGAAAUCACAGUUAAUCCCAAGAUGACGAACUGGUCAGAAUUCCUUGAACAAGUUAACCAGAAAAAUUGGAUCACUUAAAGAGACAUUUCUUUAAUACCAGAUGCCACCUGAUAUUAGUGUAUAUAGUCCGUCUUUUUAAAAAAACUUUUCUUUGAUACAAAACAUCCAGAAAAAAAUUGCUCAAAUUUUGAUUAUUUAAUGAAAGUUGAAAUAUCUUGUUAUUUGUUAAUUAAAAUUUUCUUUGUGAUAAAAUGAAAAAGGUUUGGGUGAAAUGGUGCCUGGAAAAAUCACUAUCUUGUCAGCAAAUAGGUCACGUAUUGGUAAUCGGGCCACGUGGAGUAGUGAGAAGAGAUAGGGAAAACAGAACACAGAUACCUGUAAAGCAAACACUCUACCAGCAUAGCUGAUAUGUAUGUACUGUGUGCACCAGUAUCAAGUACUACCUAUAAAACAAGUGACAGUUCACCGUCAUCACACAACACUCAUCAUCUGAUAAAGUAGAUGAAAGCAAACAGGAUGCCAGAAAAAAUACUUUAUAGAUUCUUUGGGAAAAAAAUCCAUUCCACUUUGUCAUUUUCAGGGCCAAGUUCUGCUUUAUUACCAGGUUCAAAGAAGAUAGUUGGCAAUGUAAUUUUGUUAAAUUGGUAUCAGGUUCUCUUACUAUACAAUUGUAGAUUAUAUCAGUACCUCCUUCCCCAAAUAGAAGGAUGACAUGUUAUUAUUAUUAUUUACCCAUAAUCUGUCCAACUCACCUUAUGGUAAUGUGUCAGUCUAAUCAGUCUUAAUCAUGACCAAAUGUCACAAAUUACUUGAAGGCAUUUUAAAAAAAAGUAUAUUAUAUGAGAAGACAUUAAGACAAUAAUUUUGAUUUACAACAGUGUUAAAA
rnacentral:lncRNA from 1 species